CCGACUUACGUUGAAAAGUGAGCGGAUGAACUGAGGGUAGCGGAGAAAUUCCAAUCGAACCUGGAGAUAGCUGGUUCUCUCCGAAAUAGCUUUAGGGCUAGCCUCAAGUGAUGAUUAUUGGAGGUAGAGCACUGUUUGGACGAGGGGCCCCUCUCGGGUUACCGAAUUCAGACAAACUCCGAAUGCCAAUUAAUUUAACUUGGGAGUCAGAACAUGGGUGAUAAGGUCCGUGUUCGAAAGGGAAACAGCCCAGACCACCAGCUAAGGUCCCAAAAUAUAUGUUAAGUGGAAAAGGAUGUGGCGUUGCCCAGACAACUAGGAUGUUGGCUUAGAAGCAGCCAUCAUUUAAAGAGUGCGUAAUAGCUCACUAGUCGAGUGACACUGCGCCGAAAAUGUACCGGGGCUAAACAUAUUACCGAAGCUGUGGAUUGUCCUUUGGACAAUGGUAGGAGAGCGUUCUAAGGGCGUUGAAGCAUGAUCGUAAGGACAUGUGGAGCGCUUAGAAGUGAGAAUGCCGGUGUGAGUAGCGAAAGACGGGUGAGAAUCCCGUCCACCGAUUGACUAAGGUUUCCAGAGGAAGGCUCGUCCGCUCUGGGUUAGUCGGGUCCUAAGCUGAGGCCGACAGGCGUAGGCGAUGGAUAACAGGUUGAUAUUCCUGUACCACCUAUAAUCGUUUUA
rnacentral:rRNA from 1 species